ensembl:lncRNA
AGCAGAGACAGGCUACCCUACUCCCAUGCUUCUGGGGAUUUACACUUUUGCUGAUCAGCUGGACAAGCACCAACAGGAAGGAUGGCCAGCUUGGAGCCAAGCACUGUGAUGUACACCUGCAGUCUCAGCUACUAGGGAGGCUGGGGCAGAAGAAUCACUUGAAUCCAGGAAUUUGUGGCCAGCCUGGACAACAUCGUUUAAAAAAAAAAAACAGAAGAGUGGAAAUCCUCCUGGCAAACAGAAAGAACACAGUCUCCAGAGUCAGACUGACCCAAGGACUGCACAAGCGUCAUCUUUUAUUUCCUGUGCCAUCUGGCUCAAACUACUCCAAGCUCUUUCCACGUCUCAAUAACUUUGUCUGUGAAAUGAAGACUGGGACUAGGAGAAGCAUGUGGCCGCAAAAACGUCUGGUUUUCAGAGCACAGGAAAGCUUCGUUUCUGUUGCUACAUAAUCAAGAAGACACAAUUCUGACAGAAAAUGAGCAGUGCUCUGUGAGAGCUGGGCACAGGGCCAGACACCUCAGAGAAUCCAGAAGGAGGAGGAAAGAGCAGCUCUUCUCCUGGUGGGCUCAGCAGGGUGCACUGCAGCACCUUCCCGAUUUGGAAAGGGAGGAAUCCCCAUGAAAUUUCAGGCAUUGCACAGUGGACCCUGUUACCUGGGUAUCAAUUCCUCAAGGCUAAUGGUAAGUGAGGCUCUCAGAAAACCUCUUUACUCCCUCUGAGAGAGAAAAGCAUCCACAGUAU